AACGACGCUGGCGGCAGGCCUAACACAUGCAAGUCGAGCGAGGACUUCGGUCCUAGCGGCGGACGGGUGAGUAACGCGUGGGAACGUGCCCUUUGCUUCGGAAUAGCCCUGGGAAACUGGGAGUAAUACCGGAUGAGCCCUUUGGGGGAAAGAUUUAUCGGCGAAGGAUCGGCCCGCGUUGGAUUAGGUAGUUGGUGGGGUAAUGGCCUACCAAGCCGACGAUCCAUAGCUGGUUUGAGAGGAUGAUCAGCCACACUGGGACUGAGACACGGCCCAGACUCCUACGGGAGGCAGCAGUGGGGAAUCUUAGACAAUGGGGGAAACCCUGAUCUAGCCAUGCCGCGUGAGCGAUGAAGGCCUUAGGGUUGUAAAGCUCUUUCAGCUGGGAAGAUAAUGACGGUACCAGCAGAAGAAGCCCCGGCUAACUCCGUG
rnacentral:rRNA from 1 species